rnacentral:lncRNA from 1 species
AUUUCUAGGGCUGCUCCCACGGCAUAUGGAGGUUCCCAGGCUAGGGGUCUAAUCGGAGCUGUAGCCACCGGCCUACUCCAGAGCCACAGCAACGCGGGAUCCGAGCCGCACCUGCGACCUGUACCACAGCUCAUGGCCACGCCAGAUCCUUAACCCAGGGAGCAAGGCCAGGGACCAAACCCGCAACCUCAUGGUUCCUAGUCAGAUUCGUUAACCACUGCGCCACGACGGGAACUCCAGAAGCUAUUAUUUAAAUACAAUUUAGAAAAUAGAUAUAUCUUUUUUUAAACAUCAUUCUCCCAUUUCUACUUUGAAAAUGUAGGGAUUUAAUGCCAGGCAGUAAUGGAUUUAAAUAUAAGUGUAGAGGGGUCACUGUGACACAACUUCUUCCUAAGUGUAUAUGAUGAAUUCGUGGUGUAAGAUAGUUCCUAAAGGCCUGUGCUGCUGCAUCAUAUUUUAACCUUUAGCUUUAUGACAGAACAAACACAUUAACUAUAGUCUUAUUCCCAGUGCGUUUGCAGUUGUCAGAGUCUCUCAUAGCAUCCUGGAAUCUUCAAUCAUCCCUCUGGAGAACACGUGUCCUAUUCAGGCACAGUCAUGUGCUCCGGCUUCUUCUGAGCGAGGAUGCUGGGCUGCUGGGAGUCAUCUGUCUUCUUUAAUAUUAACAUUUACAUUUUUUAACUUAUUUUUAUGGUUGCCACCGAGGCAUAUGGCUCUUCCCGGGCUAGGGAUCCAAAACGUGCCUCCACAGCGACUGGCGCCCCUGCAAGCGGAUUCUUCAUCGACGGCACCAUAGCAGCAACUCCAACACUAACGUUUUUCAUAAGGUCCCUCCCACUGCUGCACCUACUAAAAUAGCACGUUGAGGUUUGAAUAUAUUCAAACCUGUAUUUAGUCUGAAUGUAUGAGGGCCCCCCCCCCCCAGGGCACAAUAAGGUACAGUCAACUCUCUCCCCUUUCAGACUAUGCAUCCAGUCCUAUGAAGCAUGGAGCUGGAGGGUCAGAUGUAGCCAGUCUGAAUUUAUAAACAUCCCUAAGGGAUGUAAGCAAAAUGACUUACAACUAUAGUCUAUUUGCAGGAAUCAUCACAAACUGAUAUAAGAAUGCUUUCCAGGAGUUCCCCUGGAGGCUCAGUGGGUUAAGAACCCUACUAGUAUCCAUGAGGAUGCAGGUUUGCUCUUGGUCAGUGGGUUAAGGAUCCUGCAUUGCUGAAAGCUGGCAGUAGGUCCCAGAUGUGGCUCAGGACUGGCAUGGCUGUGGCUGUGGUGUAGGUUGCAGGCGUGGCUUGGAUUGGGUGUUGCUGUGGCUGUGGUGUAGGCCAGCAGCUGCAGCUUCAAUUCAACCCUUAGCAUGGCAACUUCCAUAAGCCGCAAAUGCAGACCUAUAAAACAAGGAAGGAAAGAAGAAGAAAAGACAGAAAGAAAAGAAGAAAGAAAGGAAGAAAGAGAAAGAGACAUUGCCAAAUGAUAAAAGGAAAAACUAAAGUUUUGGAAGGACAGACUAACAUGGCAGAGAUAGACGUAAUACCACCACAUAUUGUGUGGGAGUUGCCGAGCGUUAUCAAAGGGAGCUGGUCUUAAUCCACGGAUAGAACUAGAUUUCGCCAAAAAAGGUGAAGGGAGUUCCUGUCGUGGCUCAGCAUUAAUGACCCCGACUAGUAUCCAAGAGGAUGUGAGUUCCAUCCCGGGCCUUGUUCAAUGGUUAAGGAUCCGGCGUUGCCAUGAGCUGUGGUGUAGGUUGCAGACACAGCUGGCAUCUUGCAUUGCUGUGGCUGUGGUGUAGGCCAGCAGCUGCAGCUCUGAUUAGACCCCUAGCCUGGGAACCUCCAUAGGCCACGGGUGUAGCCCUCAAAAGACAAAAGGCAAAAGGCAAAAAAAAAAAAAAAAAAAAAAAAAAAAAAGAACUGGAAGUUCAAAAGGCUUAAAAAAAAUGCCAAAGCAAAUAAUGUCUCCGAAGUGAAUGUCCCUUGCUUAGCUUGCAAUAAAACAGUAAUGUGCACAUUCUAAAUUUAAUCUCUGCUUUAAGAACAAGAGAAGCAAUAAUGCCGAGGAAUUCUCUUUGGCCCAGGAGUGAGUGAAGGGUUGUUAAUUCCACCUCUGCGAGUCAUCACUGAUUCCAUCUGGGGCGACACUUUCUUGGAACAUUUGCUGUCUGAUUGCUCUCUUGUGGUCCAUACAUCAGGGAAUCCGGGUCUUCCUACUUGGGUAGUAAACCCUCAUCUAAAAUGCCCCAAGUGCUUAUAUGCCCUUCUAUUCCCAAAGGUCAGGUUCAAAUGGACUAUGGAUCCCCAAGGUUGCUUUCUUCAGGGUAUGGCUUUCAAGUGAUAAACAUGUGGCCUCUUACCUCCUUGGCUCAUUACUGACCUGCUUCUUAGCUUCCCUUAAGCAACAGAGAUUGAUAAGAGGCCAGGCAAGAAAUUCAGGCACGUGAGUUUCCACUGUGGCUCAGUAGAAAGGAACCCAACUAGUAUCCAUGAGGACUCGAGUUCUACCCCUGGCUUUGCACAGUGGGUUAUGGAUCAGGCAUUGCCCUGAGCUGUGGUGCAGGUGGCAGACACAGCUCAGAUCCUGCAUUGCUGUGGCUUUGGAUGGCAGCAGCUGCAGCUGUAAUUCAAGCCCUAGCUUGGGAACCUCCAUUUUGCUGCAGGUGUGGCCCUAAAAAGAAAAAAAAAUUCAAGCAAGGCUUUACUGGAGCCCCUCUUACUGGCUCACCCAGGAGGGGCCCCAUAUAAGCUGGUUGCUUAAAUGGGGUGAGGGUCCAGGGGUUAGACCAGAGGGGUAGCAUAGGUGGUCUGCCCAGCCCUUUGGGGGUGGUGUUGUGCGCAGGGGGCAUUGUCUGCUUUUGCUCCCAACACCCUGAUUUUGCUCUCAUUGGCUCUUCAGAAGUGGUGAUUGGGUUUUUAAGGUAUUUUGUAUCUUCUUGCCCAUGAUUUGCCCCAACUGGGCAUGCACGCAGUUAUUUUUACACCUGCCCUGCUGGGGAGCAGGAGAAUGGAGGGGCUGGGAAAUAAAUCUGUUUUUUGUUCAUGCAGCUCUAUCAAUCUAAGCACACAGGAGUAUUUUCUUGUGUUCUUCUUCCAGGGAAAUGCAUUCUCCCGAUUAUAUUUCUUUUCCUUAAGGCCAGUCUCACCCUGUGAAGGAUAUUGCUUUGUGGUCCCCUGUGUUAGAGGCGUCAAAUCUCUGCUCCCCAAUAAAAUUUGGUAAAGACGCCACGACUGUUGAUGCCACACAAGCACAGAGAGGAUAGAUGAAGAUUUAUUGCUCACAAUCAGGGUGCUUUCUGGGGAGAGCAGGACGGGGUCUCAGGCAGGACUGAAAAAGCUUGGGAAAGCAGGAAGGAGCAGGUGGUCAUGGAAUGUACAGACGUUGUGGGGUUGGCGGACAGCUAAACCUGUGUGGUGCAAACUUCCUGCCAGGUCCAGGGAGGCUGGGCUUGGACUUCUUGUUGCUUCACGAAGAUUUGGGGCAGGAGAGGAAGUGGGAGGAGUGGGGCUUGAUGGCCGUCAACCAAGAUCCAAACCUGAGUCAAGACUCUUAUUAUGGAGGUUCAGGGUGAUUGAGUCAAGGCUCUUUAUUACAAAGGCUUAGGGUGAUUUUUUUUCUCACAAAACCCCAGUUGUUGAUGGAUGUUAAAAGGCAUCUAGUCUACACCGGAUCUGUAUUUUCUCCUGGAAGGUUAAUUUCGUUACCAUCAUUUUGUGGGCGAAUGGUCCAGCCAUGGGCAC